UACAGGGGGUGCUAGCGUUGUUCGGAAUUACUGGGCGUAAAGCGUGCGCAGGCGGUUCGUUGUGUCGGCGGUGAAAGCCCCGGGCUUAACCUGGGAAUGGCCGUUGAAACUGGCGAACUGGAGUGUGGCAGAGGGGGGUGGAAUUCCGCGUGUAGCAGUGAAAUGCGUAGAGAUGCGGAGGAACACCGAUGGCGAAGGCAGCCCCCUGGGCUGACACUGACGCUCAGGCACGAAAGCGUGGGGAGCAAACAGG
rnacentral:rRNA from 1 species